CAAGUCAUAGCUUAGUAGUAUAGCAUUUCAGUUACGUUGAAAAAGUUUACCGUGCAAAUCGGUUUGUCUUGA
rnacentral:tRNA from 1 species